UCCAUCUCAACGCGGCUCAUGCGGUAAGGAGCAAUUGAAAUAGGCUGGGUGCCUAACUGUAGGUUUAUGGUGAAUUCGACUUCUCUGUCCACUGGUAGUCCGAGUAGUGCAUCCGAAAAUACAUCUGAAAAGUCUCGGACUAUCAGAAUCUCUUGAAUACAAUUCUCUUUCUUGGGUUUACCUAGUUAGAGAAAAUAGUAGGGUUAAAGUACUCGACGAAUAAGAAAACUUACCAUCAAGGAAUAAGUACUAAAU
rnacentral:lncRNA from 1 species